CACACUGGCUCUCAAGAGCUGGACCAUAAAGAAGGCUGAUCGCCGAAGAAUUGAUGCUUUUGAAUUAUGGUGCUGGAGGAGACUCUUGAGAGUCCCAUGGACUGCAAGAAGAUCAAACCUAUCCAUUCUUAAGGAAAUCAGCCCUGAGUGCUCACUGGAAGGACAGAUCGUGAAGCUGAGGCUCCAGUACUUUGGCCACCUCAUGAGAAGAGAAGACUCCCUGGAAAAGACCCUGAUGUUGGGAAAGGACGACAGAAGACGAGAUGGUUGGACAGUGUUCUCGAAGCUACCAGCAUGGGUUUGACCAAACUGCGGGAGGCAGUGGAAGACAGGAGUGCCUGGCGUGCACUGGUCCAUGGGGUCACGAAGAGUCGGGCACGACUAAACAACAACAGCAAACCAUGCUGAGUGAUGCUGAUAAGAGUAAGUGCUAGCAACAUCUGGAGGGCCACAGUUUUCUCGGUCCAGUGUUAAGGGAAGGGAAGAAAGCACAGCCACACACUCCGCUAAAAGCAACUAUUUGUAUAAAUAGAAACUUAAGCUCACUUUUCCCGUAAAGCAUAACAUUAAUCAUGAUCCACGAUGUAGAUCUACUUAUUUUCAGGCAGUUCCUUCCCCAUUCCAUGCCAGUCACAUGCCUGUUUCGUAAAGGAAAGGCUACAUCUCCACAAAGAGCCAAGCACAACAUUGAACAUUUCCUUUGUGGUGUAACCUGAGCUCGAAAGAUGUUUAAACAAGCAAAUACGUUUUAUCAACCUUGGUGAUACGAUUAUUUAACCACUGAACUAUGUGAUCAGCUGCCAGCAGUGACGGCCGAAACUCUGGGUGGAAAGCAGAAGUAAUGGUAUAUUUAUUAUGGCCUGUGCUGUAUAAGGCCAUGAAAUAUACGUGUUUUACUGCUGAGAUCACAGUCGUGGAUUUCAGUGAUUGGUUUGGCUUCCUCUGUGAUCGCAAUCUGCAUGUAUACUUUGCUUGGUUUCAUUGUUGUUUUUCAAUUCCGUGCAGAUACAGAGAACCUCUUGGGUAGAUCAUGGAACUGUAGGGCUGGAAAGGGACCUCAAGGGUCAUCUAGUCUAAACCCCUGCAAUGCAGGAAUCUUUUGCCCGAUGUGGGACUCAAACCCACAACCCUGAGAUUAAGAGCCUCAUGCUUUACCGAGCUAUAUAUACCUACAUAUCGAGCUAUAUAUUCAAAAGGGAACUGGAGGAUAUCCCUUAAGUGACAGAUUUUGCUGGGUGUUGGUAUUCUUCUCCUUAUUAAAUUAUUGAAUUUAUAUACCACCCUAUACCCAGAGGUCUCAGGGCGGUUCACAUUUUAUAAAAUCAAAAUAAAAAUAAUAACCCAGUAACAGCCCCCCCCCUCAAAGAGCCACAUUUUAAAAGGGCAUAGGAUCAGAUAAACCAAAGGCCUGGUUCAAAAGGAACAUUUUUGCCUGGCGCCUAAAGGUGUAUAAUGAAGGUGCCAGGCGAACUUCCCUGGGGAGAGCAUGCCACAGACAGGGAGCCACUGCAGAGAAAGACCGUUCUCAUGCAGCCACUCUCCGAACCUCUCGUGGAGGAGGCAAAGGAAGAAGGGCCUCAGAGAUGAUUUCAGGGUCUGGGUAGGUUCAUAUGGAAAGAGGUGGUCCUUGAGGUAUUGUGGGCCUGAGCCGUUUAAGGCUUUAUAGGUCAAAACCCUGUGUUUGAAUUAGGCCCAGAAACUAAAUGGUAGCCCGUGCAGUCGGACCAGGAUUGGUGUAAUAUGCUCAAACAUGUCUUGCCCCGGUGAUCAGCCUGGCUGCUUGACACGCCGGCGUUGCAAACCCUCAAAACCUGUCAUUGGUUGGAGCAUGCAAAUGGCUCAAUUUCACUGGAAAAUGGAAGCGUCCAUGGAAUUUUGUUGGCACCAUGAUGUCUUGGCAGCUAAGAGAUUGUGCUGUGAUGGACCUCUCGAGGGGGAGACACACUACGAAGGGCCUCAGAAGAUGAUCUCAGGGUCUGGGUAGGUUCAUAUGGAAAGAGGCGGUCCUUGAGGUAUUGCGGUCCUGAGCCGUUUAAGGCUUUAUAGGUCAAAACCAACACUUGGUACACUUCCCUUUGAAGUAGGAAAUUAAUCGGCAAGAUGUGCACCCAACUUACCACCACUGGCUGAGGCAUCAUGUCCCAGAUUACCAGGUGCUGGGAACCAAAAGUGCUGUUGCACUCGGGUCCUGCUUUUGGGUUUGUGGUUGGCCACUGUGAGAACAGGAUGCCGGGCUAGCUGGGCCGUCUGCCUGAUCCAACGGGCUCUUAGGUUCUUAUCUUACUUCCCCCCAAUUCCUCUGGAUAGUCUUGGUAAUCCUACACAUGGGUUCACCCCAACAAACACUGCAGGCAAUUUCCUACAUUCUUCAGAUGUCACAUUUUCACUGGAAAGCCAACACUGCCGUAAAAGUUUAUUGAGGCACGAUUACUCAUGUCUAAUUUCUCAGGAUUUCACAGAACUUUGCAGCUGAACGUCUCUUGGGGUAGACAUUGCAAUGACUUAAAAAUGCUGAAUGGAAUUGUAGAGUCAAGUCCAAGAAAAAUAACACAUAGACCAGCACUUCCCACAACAUUCUAAGACCUUGAUUGAUUAAAUUGUUAAGUAAAGUUCUUAAGCUCAACGAUAUCUGUUUCCCUUUGGACAAGGGGCCAUAAAAAUGUGCCUCAGGCUAAAAUUGCCUGAGUUUAAAUCCAUUGUUGUAGCAAUUUGUUAGCUUUUGAUUCCAAAUGGAUUUGGAUAAGAUUCAUCUGAAGUGUUUACCUUUGUCCUAAAUGAAACUGAGUCAAAUUUCUCAGCAAAUUCAACUAUGUCUUCAUUGAAGAAUACCUGUGUACAUUAAAACAACUUAUCAAACUUGCAUCGGGAUCAGUUUGACAUCACGUUAGCCAAGCUGUCUACUAUAACUGGCAAUAGCUCUCCAGGUUGAUUCAUUUAAUUUAUUUAGACUUUUUCUAUAACACUUAAUAUGCAAAAGUUUCCCUAACCACUGUACAGAAAACUAAAGCAGCAACAAAUGUUAUGAAAAUGCACAAGAAAACAAUCAACACAAGUUACCGAGAGGUACAUACCGCUACGAAUUUUCCCUCUUUUUGACACACCUUGGCACCCAGGACCUCUCAGCCAACUGGUUCUCGCCCAGGGCACCACCCAUCCACCCUGGCACUCACCCAGGGCCCAAACAAACUCAGAUCACACACUCACAAUCCCAACCUCUCCCUAGUCUUCGACUCUAGACGUGCUUUUAUGGGCAGGUGCCAAGGUUGAUGUAGCGUCCUUUGACUGUCCACAGCUGCCCAUUCUGCACUCAGUCAGCUACACUGGACUUGCACCCGGUUCCAGCUGGCAGCUGGCAGAUCUGGUGGCACUGGUUGGCCAGGUGAGACAGUGGCUGAGGGCCCAGGAGUUUAGAGGGGCUGUUACUGCCCCCCCCCAAUCCCACCAGCCAUCCCCAGGCCUUGUACGGAAGGUUUGGUUUGGGGAGUUUUUCCAGGAGGUCCAGAGGAUGGCAAAUAGGACACUUCACCAUUCUGUAUCUGGCCUCUGCAAAACUCUCCUCUUCCAGUUGCAUUGUUGACCCAUGGCGGGGCUUGCUUUGAUGGGCAGGCAACAAAUUAUUAUGGGAGAGGUUGGUCUCAGCCUGCUUUCAGGGAUUGAACCUGAGAACGUCAGCAUAUAAACAUCAAACUGAGCUAUGGCCGUUCUCUGUAAUUCAGUGAAUUUUAAUUAAAGCCAAUAAAAUAUGCCUGAUCUUUUCAUGCAUGUACUUCUUUCCUAUGUGAACAUAAUUUCACGAAAGGUUUAGCCUAAUUCCCUAGAUGCAUGUAUGAUUGGCCUUGAUGUUAAUUUCUGAGGUGUAAUUUCAGCCGAAGCAACCUCAUUAACACUAGGUUUCGUCUCUUUUUCCUUUCCAAAAUUCGCCCCCGUCUAAUUAGAUCUGUUGCCUCCAUUUUCAGUGGGAUGUGAUAUUAAGAA